CCGGCGACCGGCGCACGGGUGAGUAACACGUAUGCAACCUGCCCCGUCUCAGGGGGAUAAUCGUCGGAAACGGCGUCUAAUACCCCGUAUGAAGCUGGACGGCAUCGUCUGGUUUUGAAAGAAUAUCGGAGACGGAUGGGCAUGCGGCGCAUUAGCUAGUUGGCGGGGUAACGGCCCACCAAGGCGACGAUGCGUAGGGGUUCUGAGAGGAAGGUCCCCCACACUGGUACUGAGACACGGACCAGACUCCUACGGAAGGCAGCAG
rnacentral:rRNA from 1 species